rnacentral:rRNA from 1 species
AGCGAACGCUGGCGGCAGGCCUAAUACAUGCAAGUCGAGCGCCCUUUCGGGGGAGCGGCGGACGGGUGAGUAACGCGUGGGAACGUGCCCUUUGGUUCGGAACAACACAGGGAAACUUGUGCUAAUACCGAAUGUGCCCUUCGGGGAAAGAUUUAUCGCCAUUGGAGCGGCCCGCGUUGGAUUAGGUAGUUGGUGGGGUAAUGGCCUACCAAGCCUACGAUCCAUAGCUGGUCUGAGAGGAUGAUCAGCCACACUGGGACUGAGACACGGCCCAGACUCCUACGGGAGGCAGCAGUAGGGAAUCUUGCGCAAUGGGCGAAAGCCUGACGCAGCCAUGCCGCGUGAAUGAUGAAGGUCUUAGGAUUAGUAAAUUCUUUCACCGGGAAGAUAAUGACGGUACCCGGAGAAGAA